ACGACCUACGGGUGAAAGGGGGCGCAAGCUCUUGCUAUUAGAUGAGCCUAAAUCAGAUUAGCUAGUUGGUGGGGUAAAGGCCCACCAAGGCGACGAUCUGUAACUGGUCUGAGAGGAUGAUCAGUCACACCGGAACUGAGACACGGUCCGGACUCCUACGGGAGGCAGCAGUGGGGAAUAUUGGACAAUGGGGGCAACCCUGAUCCAGCCAUGCCGCGUGUGUGAAGAAGGCCUUUUGGUUGUAAAGCACUUUAAGCAGGGAGGAGAGGCUAAUGGUUAAUACCCAUUAGAUUAGACGUUACCUGCAGAAUAAGCACCGGCUAACUCUGUGCCAGCAGCCGCGGUAAUACAGAGGGUGCGAGCGUUAAUCGGAAUUACUGGGCGUAAAGCGAGUGUAGGUGGCUCAUUAAGUCACAUGUGAAAUCCCCGGGCUUAACCUGGGAACUGCAUGUGAUACUGGUGGUGCUAGAAUAUGUGAGAGGGAAGUAGAAUUCCAGGUGUAGCGGUGAAAUGCGUAGAGAUCUGGAGGAAUACCGAUGGCGAAGGCAGCUUCCUGGCAUAAUAUUGACACUGAGAUUCGAAAGCGUGGGUAGCAAACAGGAUUAGAUACCCUGGUAGUCCACGCCGUAAACGAUGUCUACUAGCCGUUGGGGUCCUUGAGACUUUAGUGGCGCAGUUAACGCGAUAAGUAGACCGCCUGGGGGAGUACGGCCGCAAGGUUAAAACUCAAAUGAAUUGACGGGGGCCCGCACAAGCGGUGGAGCAUGUGGUUUAAUUCGAUGCAACGCGAAGAACCUUACCUGGUCUUGACAUAGUGAGAAUCCUGCAGAGAUGCGGGAGUGCCUUCGGGAAUUCACAUACAGGUGCUGCAUGGCUGUCGUCAGCUCGUGUCGUGAGAUGUUGGGUUAAGUCCCGCAACGAGCGCAACCCUUUUCCUUAUUUGCCAGCGGGUUAAGCCGGGAACUUUAAGGAUACUGCCAGUGACAAACUGGAGGAAGGCGGGGACGACGUCAAGUCAUCAUGGCCCUUACGACCAGGGCUACACACGUGCUACAAUGGUAGGUACAGAGGGUUGCUACACAGCGAUGUGAUGCUAAUCUCAAAAAGCCUAUCGUAGUCCGGAUUGGAGUCUGCAACUCGACUCC
rnacentral:rRNA from 1 species